GCCAGAGUGGUUUGGACAUCAGACUAGGAGUCUGGUGAACAGGGUUCAAAUCCCUGCUCAGGCU